UCCUCCUUAGCUCAGUUGGUAGAGCGCGUGACUGUUAAUCACGAUGUCGCUGGUCCGAGCCCAGCAGGAGGAGCCA
rnacentral:tRNA from 1 species